rnacentral:lncRNA from 1 species
AGGAUAUGAUGAGUGUAUAUGGUUAUUUCACUUUCUUCAUAUAUUGUUUGGGUUUGUGACCUGUAGGUGAACAAGGUCUCACAGGGAUGCCUGGCCUUCGUGGCCCUCCUGGACCCACUGGAGAUGCAGGAAAACCAGGCCUCACGGGACCUCAAGGACCUACAGGACUCCCUGGCAUCCCAGGCAGAGCAGGCGCUAAAGGUAAGUGGGUCUCCAAAGUGGGGGUGGGAGGGAAAAUUGGGGUGGGGAGGGGUCUUUACUGA